UACGUAGGGGGCAAGCGUUGUCCGGAUUUAUUGGGCGUAAAGAGCGUGUAGGCGGCCGUACAGGUCAGCUGUGAAAACUCGAGGCUCAACCUCGAGACGUCGGCGGAAACCAUCUGGCUAGAGUCCGGAAGAGGAGAGUGGAAUUCCUGGUGUAGCGGUGAAAUGCGCAGAUAUCAGGAAGAACACCCGUGGCGAAGGCGGCUCUCUGGGACGGUACUGACGCUGAGACGCGAAAGCGUGGGGAGCGAACAGG
rnacentral:rRNA from 1 species